CCCCUAGACGUUCUGGGCUGCACGCGCGCUACAAUAAUACGCACAGCGAGUAUCACCGAGCUCGAAAGGGCAGGGUAAACAAUAGAAAAGGUACUGUAAUGGUUAUAGAUCCUUGUAAUUAUUGAUCUUCAACGAGGAAUUCCUAGUAAGUAUGUGUCAUCAUCACGCACUGAUUACGUCCCUGCCCUUUGUACACACCGCCCGUCGCUCCUACCGAUUGGGUGAGCCGAUGAAACUCUCGGAUGUAGGCUAUUCAUAGCCCGCAGAAGAGAUUUGAAUCGUAGCGCUUAGAGGAAGGAGAAGUCGUAACA
rnacentral:rRNA from 1 species